AGCAUAUCAAUAAGCGGAGGAAAAGAAACUAACGAGGAUUCCCCUAGUAACUGCGAGUGAAGCGGGAAAAGCUCAAAUUUAAAAUCUGACAGUCUUUGGCUGUCCGAGUUGUAGUCUAGAGAAGUGCUUUCUGUGCUGGACCGUGUACAAGUCUCUUGGAACAGAGUGUCGUAGAGGGUGAGAAUCCCGUCUUUGACACGGACUACCGGUGCUUUGUGAUGCGCUUUCAAAGAGUCGAGUUGUUUGGGAAUGCAGCUCAAAAUGGGUGGUGAAUUCCAUCUAAAGCUAAAUAUUGGCGAGAGACCGAUAGCGAACAAGUACCGUGAGGGAAAGAUGAAAAGCACUUUGGAAAGAGAGUUAAACAGUAUGUGAAAUUGCUGAAAGGGAAACACUUGAAGUCAGUCAUAUUGCUUAGAACUCAGCCUUGCUUUUGCUUGGUGAACUUUCUGGGUGAUGGGCCAGCAUCGAUUUUGACCAUCGGAAAAGGGCCAGGGUAAUGUGGCACCCUUUGGGGGGUGUGUUAUAGACCUUGGUCACAUAUGUUGGUUGGGAUCGAGGAUUGCAGCGUGCCGCAAGGCAGGGGAUAAACCCUACUUUCACGCUUAGGAUGCUGGCGUAAUGGCUUUAAAUGACCCGUCUUGAAACACGGACCAAGGAGUCUAACAUGCCUGCGAGUGUUUGGGUGGAAAACCCGAGCGCGCAAUGAAAGUGAAAGUUGAGACCUCUAUUGUGGAGGGCAUUGACGCCCGGACCUGACGUUCUCUGAUGGAUCCGCGGUAGAGCAUGUAUGUUGGGACCCGAAAGAUGGUGAACUAUGCCUGAAUAGGGUGAAGCCAGAGGAAACUCUGGUGGAGGCUCGUAGCGAUUCUGACGUGCAAAUCGAUCGUCAAAUUUGGGUAUAGGGGCGAAAGACUAAUCGAACCAUCUAGUAGCUGGUUCCUGCGA
rnacentral:rRNA from 1 species